rnacentral:lncRNA from 1 species
AACUUAGCUUUUGAUCGUGCCACCCACUACCUCAUCUUGAGGAUGGCUACACUACAUCACCACAUCACCAGUGUCCAGGAGUUGUGAAUACAGAGAGGCAAGGUCAUUUCACUAGUGCAGGUUGACCUGUGAUAUUUGCCUUAUGUAUGUGUAUCACCUCUGGCUAAUUAGCUCUGUGCAUAGCGAGUGCUCAGUAAAUGAGAACUGGUGAGCCGGAAGGAAUCUGCCAAGGAUAAAUAGUGAAGAAAAGCCUGUGGAUGAGGCCCCUCCUUGUUGGUAGAAUUGUGCAGGCACUACCGUGGUUAUGGGCUCAACUAAGUGAGCUGUGACAUCAGCACUGCUGAGACCAGGCAGAAGAGAACUGUGACAUCAGCACUGCUGGGAUCAUACAGGAGAGGACUGUGACGUCAGCACUGCUGAGACCAGGCAGAAGAGAACUGUGACAUCAGCACUGCUGGGAUCAUACAAGAGAGGACUGUGACAUCAGCACUGCUGAGACCAGGCAGAAGAGAACUGUGACAUCAGCACUGCUGGGAUCAUACAGGAGAGGACUGUGAUGUCAGCACUGCUGAGACCAGGCAGAAGAGAACUGUGACAUCAGCACUGCUGGGAUCAUACAAGAGAGGACUGUGACAUCAGCACUGCUGAGACCAGGCAGAAGAGAACUGUGACAUCAGCACUGCUGGGAUCAUACAGGAGAGGACUGUGACAUCAGCACUGCUGAGACCAGGCAGAAGAGAAGAUAGUAUUUCUAUUAUAAUGCAUGGAGUGUUUUUGGAAUGUCACAUAAAUAAUAUGUCUUAGGUAAAUAUUUAUUAUAUUUAAUAAUGAUGAUAAUUUAAUAGCAGUCAUUUUAUUUAAGCGGUCAUUACGUGAUGGAUUCUACUAAAUUCUCUUAUCCAUGUAGUUUUACAUACCAGAUUAAAUUUUAAAGUACAUGUCAUUAGCUUCAGUUUAUAUAUGAGGAAGCCGAUUAAAAAGAUAAACAAUAUAAUCAAUGUGUUUUGAUCUAUUAUGAACAGAAGAACGGGGUUUUACAUUUGAAUCUGUUUGACAAAAAAAUUCUUUGCUGAUAAUUGCUUCAUUAGGAAAACUGAUCGGAGUGCUAAGAUUAGAAUCAUUAUUUUAAAAAGAGAAUUGAAAUGGCAGCAUCCAUCAUUAGAUGCUGUGUUAUGUAUAUUAUUCCAAUUAUCUCACUUAAUAUUGAGACUGUGUAGUUAAUAAACUGUGUUCUGUUUUCCCCUUGUGC